rnacentral:tRNA from 1 species
UUAAAUUUAAUUACUUUGGCAGAUUAGUGCAAUGAAUUUAGAAUUCAUGUAUGUAAAUAUUUUACAAGUAAUAC